rnacentral:pre_miRNA from 2 species
UACCGCUGCCGCAUCAGCUAGCAAGGAGGCCGGGUCUGCCAGAUUUGGUGACCUCGGCCUCCCCGCUGGUGGAUCCGGCUAGCCGA